rnacentral:rRNA from 1 species
UACGUAGGAUGCAAGCGUUGUCCGGAAUCAUUGGGCGUAAAGCGCGCGUAGGCGGCCCCGAUAAGUCUGCUGUGAAAGUCCAGGGCUCAACCCUGGAAUGCCGGUGGAUACUGUCGGGCUAGAGUUCGGAAGAGGCAAGUGGAAUUCCUGGUGUAGCGGUGGAAUGCGCAGAUAUCAGGAGGAACACCUAUAGCGAAGGCAGCUUGCUGGGACGACACUGACGCUAAGGCGCGAAAGCGUGGGGAGCGAACAGG